rnacentral:rRNA from 1 species
AACGAGAAAGUGGAGCAAUCCAUGAGUACAGUGGCGUACGGGUGAGUAACACGUGACUAACCUACCCUCGAGUGGGGAAUAACCUCGGGAAACCGGGGCUAACACCGCAUAACAUCCACGGAUCAAAUGCGUAAGCAGCUUAAGGAGGGGGUCGCGGCAGAUUAGUUAGUUGGCGGGGUAAUGGCCCACCAAGACGGUGAUCUGUAUCCGGCCUGAGAGGGCGCACGGACACACUGGAACUGAAACACGGUCCAGACUCCUACGGGAGGCAGCAGUGGGGAAUUUUGCGCAAUGGGGGAAACCCUGACGCAGCAACGCCGCGUGGAGGAUGAAGUCCCUUGGGACGUAAACUCCUUUCGAUCGGGACGAUUAUGACGGUACCGGAAGAAGAAGCCCCGGCUAACUUCGUGCCAGCAGCCGCGGUAAUACGAGGGGGGCGAGCGUUGUUCGGAAUUAUUGGGCGUAAAGGGCGCGUAGGCGGUUUUGUAAGUCUUAUGUGAAAUCUAUGGGCUCAACUCAUAGACUGCAUGAGAAACUGCAGGGCUCGAGUGUGGGAGAGGUGAGUGGAAUUUCCGGUGUAGCGGUGAAAUGCGUAGAUAUCGGAAGGAACACCUGUGGCGAAAGCGGCUCACUGGACCACAACUGACGCUGAUGCACGAAAGCUAGGGGAGCAAACAGGAUUAGAUACCCUGGUAGUCCUAGCCCUAAACGAUGACUGCUUGGGUGUGACGGGUA